UGGUGGAAUUGCCAGUCUGUCCGUGAGCUGAGCUGUGGCUGCAGGGGACUGUCAGGCAUUAUUGGCUAUGGUGGAAUUGCCAGUCUGUCCGUGAGCUGAGCUGUGGCUGCAGGGGACUGUCAGGCAUUAUUGGCUGGAAAAACGCUGGAGCAGAGGGAGGGAAGGAGCAGGGAGAACUGCAGCCCCCAGCAGCUCGGUCAGUGCCGGAUGGACUCGGGGCUGGGAAAGGUCACUCAGUGUGAGGGCAGGUGAGAUCCCAGGGUGGCCCUGGCAGCCCUGGGGCUGGGAACAAGUCCAGUGGGCAAAGGAAUGGACCCUGGAGAGCUGGGCAAACAGCUGGAGGAGUUUCAAGGAGAAGCAGGAAACUGGACAAGUUGCAGCAGCUCCUUCUGUGUGUGUGUGUGUAACCAGGUCUCGUGCAGCCACGAGUGAGGUGGGAAAUGAACCUCAGCAGGCUGGGAAUGAGUCCCACAAACUGGUUACAAUGGGAUUGAGUCUUCCCAAGUGUCUGAAAAGCUUUACUUUAGUUUGGCUUUAUAAAUUGAAAAUUGAAGUGAUUGUCAAGGUGUUGGCCCUUGCUGUCCUGUGUCUUUGAAGUGUUGGCUCGGUACCUUUAUUGGAGCUGCUGCUGGAUGAACAGGUGCUCCUAAUUUGCCUUUAAGGUCCUGGUUUCUUCCCUUCUUCUUCCAGCUUCUCCAUCCAGGAGAUGGAAUUCCAGUGCUACAGUAUAGAU